rnacentral:rRNA from 1 species
GACGAACGCUGGCGGCGUGCUUAACACAUGCAAGUCGAACGGACAGGCCCUGCUUUUGUGGGGUGCUCGAGUGGCGAACGGGUGAGUAACACGUGAGUAUACUGCCCUUGAAUUUGGGAUAACUUCAGGAAACUGGGGCUAAUACAGGAUAGGAGCUCUUGCUGCAUGGUGGGGGUUGGAAAGUUUCGGCGGUUGGGGCUGGACUCGCGGCUUAUGCGCUUGUUGGUGGGGUAGUGGCUUACCAAGGCUUUGACUGGUAGCCGGCCUGAGAGGUUGACCGGCCGCAUUGGUACUGAGAGAGGCACCAGACUGCUACGGGAGGCAGCGGGGGGGAACAUGGCGGAAUGGGCGGAAGCCUGAUGCAGCAGCGCCGCGUGCGGAAAGACGGCCUUCUGGUGGAAAACCUCUUUCGCCUGUGACGAAGCGUGAGUGACGGUAAUGAGUAAAGAAGCACCGGCUAACUACGUG